UACGUAGGGUGCAAGCGUUAAUCGGAAUUACUGGGCGUAAAGCGUGCGCAGGCGGUUUUGUAAGUCUGACGUGAAAUCCCCGGGCUCAACCUGGGAAUUUCGUUGGAGACUGCAAGGCUAGAAUCUGGCAGAGGGGGGUAGAAUUCCACGUGUAGCAGUGAAAUGCGUAGAGAUGUGGAGGAACACCGAUGGCGAAGGCAGCCCCCUGGGUCAAGAUUGACGCUCAUGCACGAAAGCGUGGGGAGCAAACCGG
rnacentral:rRNA from 1 species